rnacentral:rRNA from 1 species
AUGGACGAAAGUCUGAUGGAGCAACGCCGCGUGAGUGAUGAAGGGUUUCGGCUCGUAAAACUCUGUUGUUGGAGAAGAACAGGUGAUAGAGUAACUGUUAUCAUCUUGACGGUAUCCAACCAGAAAGCCACGGCUAACUACGUGCCAGCAGCCGCGGUAAUACGUAGGUGGCAAGCGUUGUCCGGAUUUAUUGGGCGUAAAGCGAGCGCAGGCGGUUUUUUAGGUCUGAUGUGAAAGCCUUCGGCUUAACCGGAGAAGGGCAUCGGAAACCGGGAGACUUGAGUGCAGAAGAGGACAGUGGAACUCCAUGUGUAGCGGUGAAAUGCGUAGAUAUAUGGAAGAACACCAGUGGCGAAGGCGGCUGUCUGGUCUGUAACUGACGCUGAGGCUCGAAAGCAUGGGUAGCGAACAGGAUUAGAUACCCUGGUAGUCCAUGCCGUAAACGAUGAGUGCUAAGUGUUGGAGGGUUUCCGCCCUUCAGUGCUGCAGCUAACGCAUUAAGCACUCCGCCUGGGGAGUACGACCGCAAGGUUGAAACUCAAAGGAAUUGACGGGGGCCCGCACAAGCGGUGGAGCAUGUGGUUUAAUUCGAUGCUACGCGAAGAACCUUACCAGGUCUUGACAUCUUCUGCUAACCUAAGAGAUUAGGCGUUCC